rnacentral:rRNA from 1 species
CCUACUGGAGGCAGCAGUGGGGAAUAUUGCACAAUGGGGGAAACCCUGAUGCAGCGACGCCGCGUGAGUGAAGAAGUAUUUCGGUAUGUAAAGCUCUGUCAGCAGGGAAGAAAGUGACGGUGUCUGACCAAGAAGCCCCGGCUAACUACGUGCCAGCAGCCGCGGGAAUACGUAGGGGGCGAGCGUUAUCCGGGUUUACUGGGUGUAAAGGGAGCGUAGACGGCAGGGCAAGUCUGGAGUGAAAGGCGGGGGCUCAACCCCCGGACUGCUCUGGAAACUGCCAGGCUGGAGUGCAGGAGAGGUAAGUGGAAUUCCUAGUGUAGCGGUGAAAUGCGUAGAUAUUAGGAGGAACACCAGUGGCGAAGGCGGCUUACUGGACUGUAACUGACGUUGAGGCUCGAAAGCGUGGGGAGCAAACAGGAUUAGAUACCCGGGUAGUC